AAAUAAGACGCAAUUCUCUAGUGUCCAAGAGUGGCAUUUUUUUAUCCCAAGUUGCAUAUAAUUAUCGUUAUCGUUUGCAAGUGUUGAAUACCAAAACCACACGGAAUUAUAGAUUCAACAAAUAUGGAUUUGAAUAUUGACAUAGUCAGAGAAACAAAUUACCAACAUAUUUUUAGCUAAGAAAAACAUUUUCUAGAUUAACAUAAUAUAUAUUGUUGAAAAGUUGAAGCAGCUUGAGGACACAAAUAAA
rnacentral:lncRNA from 1 species